GUACAUGCCCACACUUUCAAUAGUUGAAUAAUGGCUGUUGAGACUUCCGAUAAACCAAAUUUACCUCAUGAUUUUGACGACGAUGAUGAUGCACCCAUAAUAUACAAAAGGUUAUCAGCUAAGAAAAAUCAAUCACUUCCAGAAGCACCAAAUUUACCUCAUGAUUUUGACGAUGAUGAUGAUGCACCCAUAAUUUACAAAAGGUUAUCAGCUAAGAAAAAUCAAUCACUUUCAGAAGCAAGGAAGUCAAGUUCUCACAUUCAUGAGGGACAGUCAUAUAGACAGAUUCCUAAUGCAUCUUCUUCG
rnacentral:lncRNA from 1 species